rnacentral:tRNA from 1 species
UCCCUGAUGGCUCAGAGGUUAAAGCAUCUGCCUCCAAUGCAGGAGACCCGGGUUUGAUCCCUGGGUCGGGAA